GCAUAGAAACGUUGUACAGGUGCAGAGAUGCUUAAUAGGGAACCGGGUGAAAAUCCCGGAACUGUCCCAGCAACCGUGAUGCGGACGAAAUGACGUAUACCACUGCUUUGGGUGUCAGGAUUGACAGGGAAAGCGGGAAGGUGUCGGAGUAGGAUGAAGCUAAGUCGGGAGACCUGCCUGUAUAUGACUCCUGGG
rnacentral:ncRNA from 2 species